CAGAACUGGUCUGUGAUUUAGGUAGUUUCCUGUUGUUGGGGCUCCACCUUUCUCUCGACAGCACGAUACUGCCUUCAUUACUUCAGUUGAA
rnacentral:pre_miRNA from 1 species